GGGCCUGUAGUUUAAUGGCAGAAUAUCUCAUUCGCAUUGAGGUGAUGGCGGUUCGACUCCGCCCAGGUCCA
rnacentral:tRNA from 1 species